GCUAGGACCAGAAAGUGGGAGUGCUGUGGAGAAACCCCAGGGGCAUUAGCUCAGCCUGAGGGAAAGUGUCCUUGUGAAGGAGCUCAUGAGCGUGAUUAUCUCCAUUCCACAAAUAAGAAAUAUGGAGCUGCUGAGAGGUUCCCCGGGAAGAUGAAGACCAGAGUAACCUUUGAAACCACACACUGAGACUGCAGGACAGCUAUCAGCCUGGGUCCCUGAAGAAUCAUGUAGACAUAUUUGGUUACCAAUCUGGACCAUCACUGGGACUGUUGUGAGAGACAGAAAUAAACU